UCCUUAGAUGUUCUGGGCCGCACGCGUGCUACACUGAGUGGAUCAGCGGGUCAGGUUGCGCGAAAGCGUUUCCUAAUCUUUAAAUCCGCUCGUGAUGGGGAUUGACGGUUGCAAUUUUCUGUCAUGAACGAGGAAUACCUUGUAAGCGCGGGUCAUCAUCCCGCGCUGAAUACGUCCCUGCCCUUUGUACACACCGCCCGUCGCUCCCACCGAUUGAGUGGUCCGGUGAGGCUCUGGGACCUGGACGGAAAGAGCGUUUCGCUUGUUCUGUUUGGGAAACUUGGUCGAACCUUAUCAUUUAGAGGAAGGAGAAGUCGUAACA
rnacentral:rRNA from 1 species